GACGAGUCGAGUUGUUUGGGAAUGCAGCUCAAAAUGGGUGGUAAAUUUCCAUCUAAAGCUAAAUACAGGCGAAGAGACCGAUAGCGAACAAGUACCGUGAGGGAAAGAUGAAAAGAACUUUGGAAAGAGAGUUAAACAGUACGUGAAAUUGCUGAAAGGGAAACGCUUGAUGUCAGUCGCGUCGGCCAGGGAUCAACCUUGCUUCUCGCUGGGUGUACUUCCUGGUGGACGGGUCAGCAUCAGUUUCGGUCGCCGUACAAGGGCUUAAGGAAUGUGGCACUCUUCGGAGUGUGUUAUAGCCUUUCGUCGGAUGCGGUGGUGGGGACUGAGGAACUCAGCACGGCUUCAGGUUUGUGCUUAGGAUGCUGGCAUAAUGGCCUUAAGCGACCCGUCUUGAAACACGGACCAAGGAGUCUAACAUGCCUGCGAGUGUUUGGGUGGCAAACUCGGGCGCGCAAUGAAAGUGAACGUUGAGACCUCUGUCGUGGAGGGCAUCGACGCCCGGACCUGAGUCUUUGACGAAGGAUCUGCGGUAGAGCAUGCAUGUUGGGACCCGAAAGAUGGUGAACUAUGCCUGAAUAGGGUGAAGCCAGAGGAAACUCUGGUGGAGGCUCGUAACGAUUCUGACGUGCAAAUCGAUCGUCGAAUUUGGGUAUAGGGGCGAAAAG
rnacentral:rRNA from 1 species